UCCAGAGUAGUGAGGAUCAGGCUGGCGGUCAGUUGUAGCAAUACUCCCCACGCCGUGGCUGCUGCAGCACACCUGCUGGCUCGGUGACCUCACCUGGGAACGAUGGCCUUUUGCCACCUGGCCUCUCUCCUCAGUGCCUUUGCUGCCUGCCUCUUUCAGGCCCAGAAGGAUCAACACACUCCCUCCUUUUCUCACAAGACCACAGAAGAGCUCCCAAGACAACACACUGACCUUCAGCUGUAAGAUCCUCAGUGGGAGGAACUACAACUGCAAUGUCCUUGAUUCUCCAGAACCCAGCACUAGCUCUGACACUCAGAAGACUUAACAGAGGAGCAGAACAUGGACAGGGCCUCCUCCCAGAGUCCAAAGGGGCCUCAAGGAUGGAGCAGAAAAUCAGAUCAUGACAGCAUCUAUCUACUCCAGGCCUGGAAAACAAGGCCCCCAGGGAGGGGAAGAAAUAUUUCCUUAUCCUACUGUGAAGUGUCCUCCCUCAUGCCGAGGAACUGUGCUAAGCCACCAGGACACUUAAUCAUCAACUUACCCCCUCUGUCUCUUGUUGUCUCACCUGCUCCUUCACUGACUCACCCACUUACUUAAAAACUACUAGGGGCGCCUGGGUGGCUCAGUCGGUUACGCGGCCAUCUUUGGCUCAGGUCAUGAUCUCACGGUUCGUGAGU